UUGGCAAGAUGAGCGAUUGCUCUUAUUGAAAAAUAAGGGAGGAAAGUCCGAACACCCAUUGUUCCGCGAUAGCGGAGCUCUAAAAAGAUAGAGGGUAAUACCCUUCGGCCGCGAGGCAGAGGUGCGAACAGUGACGGUCUUUUGCCGAAAGGCGGAGGCAGCCUGGCACUCAAAAAUAUUGAGUGGCUGGCGAAUCCUGAUAGCAAUAUCGGGAGUGAAACGGCUAAAUCCUUAUUGGGCGCAAGAACAAAGCAGAAGAUUGGGUUAAAUACAUCUCAAAAUUCUGUUAAAAGUAGUUCGCUUGAGCUAAAAAGCAAUUUUUAGCGAAGACAGAUAAUCGCAUAAAACAGAAUUCGGCUUACGGUCUUGCCAAGACA
rnacentral:RNase_P_RNA from 1 species